CAAAAACAUCGCCUCUUGUACUUAUAAGAGGUCCAGCCUGCCCAGUGACUCAUGUUAAACGGCCGCGGUAUACUAACCGUGCAAAGGUAGCGCAAUCACUUGUCUCUUAAAUAGAGACCUGUAUGAAUGGCAUCACGAGGAUUCAACUGUCUCCUUUUUCCAAUCAGUGAAACUAAUCUCCCUGUGAAAAAACAGGGAUUCAAAUAUAAGACGAGAAGACCCUAUGAAGCUUUAAACAUAUAACAAAUGCUUUUAUACCCUCCUUCAAGAAGCUCAACACACAGCACAUUGAUUAUAAGUUUUUGGUUGGGGUGACCGCGUGGAACAAUCGAACCCCCGCACUGAAGAACCUAAAUUCAAAACUAAAAGUCACAACUUUACGAAUCAACAAAUUGACACAAUUGACCCAAAUAUUUGAUCAAUGAACCAAGUUACUCUAGGGAUAACAGCGCAAUCUAUCUUCAAGAGCACAUAUCGACAAGUAGGCUUACGACCUCGAUGU
rnacentral:rRNA from 1 species